rnacentral:misc_RNA from 1 species
GAUGAAGAACGUAGCGAAAUGCGAUAAGUAAUGUGAAUUGCAGAAUUCAGUGAACCAUCGAAUCUUUGAACGCACAUUGCGCCCGGCAGUAAUCUGCCGGGCAUGCCUGUCCGAGCGUCAUUUCUGCCCUCGAGCGAGUCCAGCAUCUAGGUGCUGGGCCCGCCCGGCGUUGGGGCACUACGGGAAGCCCUGUGCUGUCCCCCGUAGGCCCCGAAAUGAAGUGGCGGUCCUGCCGCGGCGCCCCCUGCGUAGUAUAACAGCUCGCUUCGGGACCCGGUGGAGGCCUGCCGUCAAACCUUACUCUCUAAGUUUGACCUCGGAUCAGGUAGGGAUACCCGCUGAACUUAAGCAUAUCAAUAAGCGGAGGA